GCCCUACAGAUAGGACAAGUCUUGUUCCAUUGACUUAAACAGUGAAAGUGGAACGCGUGUCCG
rnacentral:sRNA from 1 species